CUGGCAGCCCUAGUUAGUGAAGUCUCAUACCUAAGCACAGAUGCCGCCUGGGCAAUGGUAGGACUAUUCUAUGUCUCCUCCCUGACCUGAGGAAGCACCUCAAGGUGUGAAAGGUGGAUUCAGUCUCCACGUCUAUUCCAUCUUUGGCUGGA
rnacentral:sRNA from 1 species